UGUGUGUGUGUAUGUGGAGUCAUGUUACCCCCGCUGUGCGUUGCUUCACAGUCGUUCUUCACUGGCUAGCUUUAUGUCUUCCUCCCCGCCGUAAAGCUGCCAGUUGAAGAGCUGUUGUGGGUAACUAUGACUACAGAACUCUGCAGAUGGGGAUGUUAAGACAUGAUUCAAUCUAAUUCAGGGCCCCUGAUACCCCUCAGGUCAAGGACAAAUCUACAGUUUUAUACAGAGCAAUCACUGAAUGGAAUUCUUUACUAACUCACAUUUUUCAGGCCAAAAGUAAAUCCACCUUCAAGAAAACAAUAAAAGUACAUCUAAUGUGAUCGACCGUAUUACUGGACAGAGACUAGAGAGCAUCUACUGAAUGUAAAAUGUAUUACCUGUCAGGUAUUUUAAUUGUAUGUAAUGUCUAAUUGUUAAAUGUUUAUAAAGUCUUAAUGACAAUUGCAAUUGUUUGUAAUGUCUUUUUAGGUCUGUGUUGGACCCCAGGAAGAUUAGCUGACGUUAUGCCGUCAACUAAUGGGGAUCCCAGAGUCAAAUUGAGGGUUGAUCGAUGAGGACAUGUUUUUGCCUGAGGAGUGGGUCAAACAAUGUGUACUACUAGCACCUGAUCAAAACAGAGGGUUAUUGAAGUAGUUUACAAACAAUUAAUCAUAAUUGUUACUGCAGGAGUAUGCAAAAUCAUUUAGUUUAACGAUUUUGUUUGGACAGUUCUUGCAUUCUCGCAGACUAGGGCCACAUCCUCGAGUUUCCAAGUAUUGACCGCACUGCGGCUUUAUGGGUAACAAAUAAAACAGACAUUGGAGCUGACAGCCUUCAGCGGGACUCCACUUCUUAUUUAUCACCUACACGUUCUCCAGAAGGGCCACACUUUAGUCCAGAAUCCAGUUCUGUAUGUAUGCACACAGCCAGGCCCAAUUCACCCCUUCCUCUUGGACUCUAACCCGCUAAUGUUUGCAGAUAUGUAAGGUGGAAGCAAUAUGGUGGAAGCUCCACCACUACACUGCUUAUACCUAUCCAUAUACUACAGAUCUGCUAACGUUAAAGGGUUAGGUCCAAGGGGGAGGGGUAGGGAGCGAAUUGGGGCCAGCUGACCCAGUUGGCGUGUGUUGUCAAUGUUACGGACUACCUGUCUGCUGAGAUCUCCACCCUCAAACAGAAGAAGUUCAACAUGGUGAUGUUCGCGGACAUCCCGGGCCUGUUGAACCGGGACAGGCCUCCCUUUGAUGUCAACUGCGCUAUCACCUCAUUUGGGGAGCAGGCAGACCUGGUUUUGUGUUCUUUGACCCCAUGGGCCAGGAGCUGUGCAAGCGCACAAUCAACAUCAUGAAGAAACUUAGCGAUAAGAUUGCGGACAAGCUGCGAUUCUACCUCAGCAAGGCAGUCGAAGCCGGGAGGGAUCUGGACAGACAGAAUUACCACAACAAUUGGCGACGAGGAUGGGACACUAACUCCGCUUACUGAUCGUUCCUGAGGAGACUGAGGUUAACUGCGCACAGGGGCUACAGAAGAUGCGGCUCAGGGGACUCCUGAGAAAACCUGCAAACCAGGCUGUCAUCAUGAGACACAGUGGAAAGAAUCCAGCUAGCUAAAGCAUUUACUGCAAAUUGAAUGUACAAAUGUGUAAGCUUGCCUUGCCGUGCAAUGCAGCGGAAGUAACAUAGCUAGCUAACUAUUUAACGGUAACUAACUCACUUUUGUACAUCGCACUGGUCCGUGCAAUUGUCCUUAUUUUAGCGCCCAAAAAACGUAAUACUUCCAGAUCAACUGCAAUAUCAAUACCAUUGUAAAGCACAAUUUCUCCCCUCUUUAACAAACCAAUGAUGAGACCAUCAUAAUGCCCAUCUCUGCAUGAUUCAAGAAGGCAAUGAGCUCCGUCUGGUCUUUUUAAAAAUGGCAGGUGGGGAAGCGAAACCUACUGCGUGAUAGUGAAAGGGGAAACAUAUUUUUUCACCUGUCCAACUUAUCACCUUAUCACCUCUAAAAUGAAAAUAAAACACUGUGAAGAGUUUAUAUAACUUGUUAUUCCAUACCUAUUUGUAGGUUUGUGUCGAAUUUGAAUUGGGUUUUUAGGGCGGCGCUAAAGUUAACAGCGGCUUUUGAGAGUCAUGAUGGCUUGCAGUUAUGACGCAAAAAAUGACUAGGUAAUGCUAUCCCCCUUACCCUGUCCCUUUCUUAUUUUUAAGCGGUGAGAUAAGCGCUACACCUGGUGGAGAGAGGCUGUAAGACACCGAAUUAGUUGGUUUACGUGUGCUGUACGUCAUGACAUGACACAAUUUAAAGUACAGCGUCGGAGUGGUCAGUUUUUUCAACUUUCACUCCAAUACUAUUGAUCCAUUACCAUGUCAAUCAACGCAUGAAUAGAAACGUAGUUCACAUCCCAGAUUUUGAUGUCAACACAGUUUCUGCAGUCCCAUUAGUUUUCAUUGCAGCCUCGUUUGAAUGUCGUGGUUGCUCAAAUUUGUACGGAUGGGGUUAGUCACCAUUACUUGCUUAUUGUGUAGUGGGGGAUAAGAAUAACUGUAUGCCUAUGGAUGUGUAGCUAGCUACAGUAUGUAGCCGAUCUCUGUAUGGACCCUAAAAUGUUAGGUUCAGAACUAAUAUUCAUACCAAUCUAUGAACCUCAGCUAUCAUAGUUGUUGCAUCAACUUCAAGUCUGAAUGGCAUUAAUGAAGCCUAUGGAUAGAGUAGAAUAUAAUAACUUUAUUGUGCCAAGGAUGCAAGUCCUAUAUACAUGUACUGUAGUUAUUACCACGCAUGAGAUCCCAACAUUGUAGCCUGUACAUUGAAUAUAUUCACUGAUCAUGUAGUCUUCCUUGGCAAUUAAAGGUGCAGUUCAGGUAUGAUUAUUUUUCAGUCAUAUCCAAUACCAGGUGUAUCAAACUCCAUUCAUUGAAUGAUGCUGUGUCUGCAUGUAUGUACUACAAUUAUACACUUCAACAGUGUUUACCACUCCUGCACCUGGGGCAUCAAUGAUUACCCAUUGUAGCUAUGCAAUAGAGAACAAACGUGAUUUAAGUAAAGGCUGAUUUGUAAUUCAUACAUACAGAAAUACACCUAUUCAUAUCUAACUCCCUUCAUCUGCAUUAAUCUGAUGACACAGGAUAGGUGUAGUAUUG